rnacentral:rRNA from 1 species
CAGUAGCCGCGGGAAUACGUAGGGUGCAGGCGUUAAUCGGAAUUACUGGGCGUAAAGCGUGCGCAGGCGGUUUGUUAAGACAGAUGUGAAAUCCCCGGGCUUAACCUGGGAACUGCGUUUGUUACUGGCAGACUUGAGUGUGGCAGAGGGGGGUAGAAUUCCACGUGUAGCAGUGAAAUGCGUAGAUAUGUGGAGGAAUACCAAUGGCGAAGGCAGCCCCCUGGGUUAACACUGACGCUCAUGCACGAAAGCGUGGGGAGCAAACAGGAUUAGAUACCCCCGUAGUCCCUGUCUCUUAUAC